rnacentral:rRNA from 2 species
UUCGGACUGGCCCAGGGAGGUCGGCAACGACCACCCAGGGCCGGAAAGUUGGUCAAACCCGGUCAUUUAGAGGAAGUAAAAGUCGUAACAAGGUCUCCGUAGGUGAACCUGCGGAGGGAUCAUU